GCGAAUAUUUGUCUUGUGGACCCGAGUGAGUCGGACCCCCGUGCCCAAGGUCGGGCGAGGCGGAGUUUUGCGGCAGGGGUCGGGCGCUCCCGACCUCGGUCCUCUGGGUCGGGUGAGGCGGAGUUUAGUCUUCAAGGGGUCAGGAACGUCCGACCCCGGGACUCCGGGUCGGGCGAGGCGGAACGUGGCCUCUCCCUCCCAUAUUGGGCCGACGACAACCUAGCCACCUUAGAUGGGCCCGGGCCUUUAUGUUUUGUUGAUUCCAUGGGCUAGGGGAGAUCGUUA
rnacentral:lncRNA from 1 species